rnacentral:lncRNA from 1 species
GCGCUCUUUCUGGGAGGAGCCUGGGGGGGGGAGGGUCCUGCCCACGGGCCCCGCCCUGCACUAGGCGGAAGCCCCCAAAGUAUCAGCGCCGCUUCGUGGAGCCUGGCGACUGCUUUGGGAAGUCCUGCUGGCAGGCACUCUGCCCCUGGGGGUGUGCAAAGAGUUGUCCAGUUACCUUGAUCUUCUCACAGCCUCCUCCCCAGGGCACCAGGAGAGACCAGGAUUGGAGGACGGUAAAGAACACACUUCCCAGAGGAUUCUUGGAGGUGGCUUCCUCCAGGCAGUAAAUCUACAGCCCAGGCUCCCUGCAUCUUAUGGCUCCAAUCACUUUGGAUCUCAUCGUCGCCUGCACAUUGCCAUACACAGGGAAGGAGAAGAGAUGGAGAAGGCAAAGACUUUCUGAAAGCCGUGGCUAAAAGCUGGCAUGUGUCACAUCAGCUCACAUUCCAUUGUAGAGACGGGGUUUCACCGUGUUAGCCAGGAUGGUCUUGAUAUCCUGACCUCGUGAUCCGCCCGCCUUGGCUUCCCAAAGUGCUGGGAUUACAGGCGUGAGCCACCGCUCCCGGCCUGGCAGGCAUUCUUGAGGCAAACGGGAAAUGGGUGAACGGGAGGAACAUUGGCAGCACUUGUGGUCUGCACCAAGAACUGAAUCGAAUUUCCAUGUGUUAUUGAAUGUUCACAAAGACCUUGUACAGCGAGUGUUACUACCUCUGGUCAAUGAUUCAACUCAAGGCUCAGAAAAGUCAAGUGUCUUGUCCAGGGACACUUAGUCAGAAGUGAAUCCAAGGUUUAAGCUCAAGUCUGCCUAACUCUGAAUUUCACAGCCUUUUGCUACAUAUGGCGAAUAAUAUAUCCCUGAGCACUAAAGGCAGACUCCAAGGAUCUUGUCUCUGCAAUCAUCAUUCUGGCCAUAAUUUAUGAAAAGCAACCCAAAGUAUGUGAUGUAAUAAAAAGUACUAUCUAUGAGUUUACCCUUCCAAAAAUUGAACUGAAUUCUGAGCUCUAAAUUUGGAAUCAAAAGAACUUUUCUCUGCACUAAUCAUUUGGAACAUCACUUAAAGAAAACAACGAAAAACUGGUGUCCCCUGAGAGAAAGCAAUACAAAACAUUAUGCAUAAAGAAAUCCUUCCAAAAAAUAAACCAAAUCCAGUCAAAUCUCUAGUUUUGACUCCUAGCUUACCGGAAAUACGUGAUGGGAAAAAAAUGAAAUGACACCACUAUGAUUCAAUCAGCCAAAUCCAGCAUAUGCAAAUUUCUACCAGAUAAAUGGUUUAGUUUCUUCCCCAAACAAAUGGCACAAGGAAACGGAGGUAAGAAUGGGAUGCUGUUAUAGAUUUUAAAAGAUUUAAGAAAGUAUAAACUAAAUACACUAUGUGCAUCCUCUCUGAACGUGCUUCAAACAUAUCAAGGGGUCAAUGAGCAGUUUUGAAACAAUAAGGGAAUUUGAACACUGAAUGGUUGUCAGAAGAUAGUAAGAGAUCAUUAUUAAUUUUACUAGACAUAAUGAUGUUCUGAUUUUGUUUUUUUUUUAAAAAAAAAACAGUGUUAUUUCCUUUAUAGAUACAUCAUAUAGUAUUAACUAAUGAAAUGCUUUGAUAUCUGGAACGUUUAAAAAAUAUUCCCGAUGGAGUAAGUGCAAAGAAACAGGUAAGCAAAAUGCUGAUAAUUGCUGAAACACAGGAUGUGUACCUGGGGCUUCAUUUACUAUCUCUUCAUUUUCUAUUUUGAUAUUUGUUGGACAUUCUCAUAAAAAGGAAAGUUAUGUUUUAUUUUCUCAUAAGCUAGUAAUGAAAUAGCCCUACGUAACUGAUAUUGUAGAGACAAGAAUAGGUGUAAUAGAGCUUAAGGUUUUCAUUUAAAAAACUAUCUGUAGACUUCAAUGGAUCUUAGGUGGCAUCCAUGCAAUAACACUCGUGGAACAUGCAGGACAGGUGUGGAGCUCCAUCUUCACACAGUGACAUUUUUUAUGCUUCUGUUUUCCCUAAGAGUGGAGUGAGAGGAUGAUUAUUUUAUAUCAUGGACUUCUUCCCUGCUAUACUUUUUUUAAUUAUUUUACUUUCACUUCUGGGAUACAUGUGCUGAGCAUGCAGGCUUGUUUACAUAGGUAUACAUCUGCCAUGGUGGUUUGCUGCACCUAUCAACCCAUCAUACAGGUUUUAAGCCCUGCAUGCAUUAGGUAUUCGCCCUAAUGCUCUCCCUCGCCUUUCCCCCCACCCCCUGAUAGCCCCCAGUGAGUCAUAUUCCCCUCCCUGUGUCCAUGUGUUCUCAUUGUUCAACUCCCAUUUAUGAGUGAGAAUAUGUGGUGUUUAGUUUUCUGUUCCUGUGUUAGUUUGCUGAGAAUGAUGUUUUCCAGCUUCAUCCAUGUCCCUGAAAAGGACAUGAGCUCAUUCUUUUUUAUGGCUGCAUAGUAUUCCACGGUGUUAUAUGUGCCACAUUUUCUUAAUCCAGUCUGUCAUUGAUGGACAUUUGGGUUGUUUCCAAGUCUUUGCUAUUGUAAAUAGUGCUGCAAUAAACAUAUGUGUGCAUGUGUCUUUGUAGUAGAAUGAUUUAUAAUCCUUUGGGUAUAUGCCCAGUAAUGGGACUGAUGGGUCAAAUGGUAUUUCUGGUUCUAGAUCCUUGAGGAAUUGCCACACUGUCUUCCACAAUGGUUGAACUAAUUUAUACUCCCACCAACAGGGUAAAAGCAUUCCUAUUUCUCCACAUCCUCUCCAGCAUCUGUUGUUUCCAAAUGUUUUAAUGAUUGCCAUUCCACCUGGCGUGAGAUGGUAUCUCAUUGUGGUUUUGAUUUUCAUUUCUCUAAUGACCAGUGAUGAUAAGCUUUUUUUCAUAUGUUUGUUGGCCACAUAAAUGUCUUCUUUUGACUUUUAUGUGGAAACAAAUUUAACUGCACAGAGAGGUGAAAAUUAAUUAAUAACUUUUAAAGUAAUUCCCUAAGUUUCUAAGGAUCUAUAUGUUUCCAUCUGACUUUAUUUUAUUUAAGCUCUUGAUUGAUGCUGCAUUUGGAGCAGGUUCAUGAACAUGAAUAGAGUUAAUCUGGGACAGAUUUCCCUCAUUUGAUUUUUUCACUGUUUCCAUCACAGAACUUAUUUCAUGCUCACCAUGUUUGCAGGCAUUGAGCUUGGUACUGGAGCCACAGAGCUGGAUCAGACAGACUUGUGCAAAUAUUUCAGGUUUUUUUUGUGGGGGGGUCAUAUUUAUAGAUAAAUAACAGUAAAGAGUGACGGGUUCUUAUGAAAAUGCAUACACAGUGAAGUAGAGGGUGAAAAGGAGGGAUGUGUUCUAUGAGGAGGAAGAGUGAUAAGAAAGUGUAAGGGGAUGUGUCUGUGUCUAGACAUAUGUGUGUUCACGUGUGUGCGUGCUUGUGUGUACUGCAUGUGUAUAUGUGUGGCCAUGCACCUGUGUGCAUGUUCAUGUGUGUGUGUGUAUGUGUCUGUGUUGAGGACUAAAUUAAUUGGGCUUAUGGAAGCAGGGAGCCACUGAUAGGUUUAAUUAGAGACUGACAUGAUAUGAUAGUUUAGGUGGAUUUCUCUGGGGGCUGUGUUGAGGGACAGUGGGGAGGAGAGCUAGAAGGAAGAAAAGGACACAUGCAUAACAGAAGCAAUAUCUGUCUAUGGGAUGGUGGAAAGAAUCAGAAAAGACUUAAUAAAACAUGUGACACUUUAACUGAAUCUUGAAAUAGACAAGUGUUGGAGGAGGGAGUUGGACCAGAUACUUCAUGCAAAGGGAAGAAAAGUGCACAAACAAAAUAUGAGAAACAAGGCAGACAGGCAUUUUUUUAAAAUUUUCGCACCCACUGAUAGACCAGUGAUGCAUUCACAUCGUCUGCAUUCAUGAUCAACAAAAGUGCUUUCCUAGAACAUGAACCUCAACCCAAGUGUCGCCUCAAGUAGUGUAUGCAUGAACUCAAGCAUUAAAUUAGAAUUGAUUUUUUAAAAAACUCACACAAACAGAUGUAUUAUUUAAAAAUCUUUAAAGCAGGUUUAAACAGUUUUCAGGAUUAAAAGCAGCCACUAUUAGAAAGAACAAAAAUACAUUUGACAUAAAUAUAAGGAGCCUCAAUAGAACCUCCUGUACCCAGUCAUUGUCAAUGCCACAUCCAUUCAUUCACCAGCCCUUAUAUCAAUGCUUGCUGGGCUCACUUACCACGAUCAGCACGUGCAUGUCCUUAUCUGAAAGCUUGCCACUCAAAUGUGCUCAGUCUUACCUGUGUGGCUGGGAGUGUUGGGGAUUUAAUGUCAAGGGAAAGAAUCUUCCAUCAAUGAAUGAUGAAAGUUAGUUUUCACAACUUCCGGUCCCCUUGGCCCUCAUCAAAGGGCUCCAGGUGAGGUUUGGGCUCCUUGCUAUCCUCCGAGUUUCCACGGUAGUUUUAAGCACCAUUGCCCGUGGUAAUGGCUGACAUUGAUACUGCACUUUUUUUUUAUUUAAGAUGGAGUUCCCCUCUGCCACCCAGACUGGAGUACAGUGGCGCGAUCCUGGCCAUCGCAACCUCCGCCUCCCAGAUCCCUCCUACAACACAUGAGAAUUGUGGGUGCUACAAUUCAAGAUGAGAUUUGAGUGGGGACAAAGUCAAACCAUAUCAUUAGAUAGGACACUGGAGAAAGGCAAGAAAGAAAAGACAUCUGAAGAAUGAAGGGAGCCAAAGAAAUGCCAACAUUUUGCUUUUUGAAGAAAAGCUAAAUUAAAGUCAAAAUGGAUUUAUCAAUUUCCUUGGGUUCGUGAAUGUACAGAACUUUAUUAAGACUGUCAUGCUGUCAUCAUGGCUGGAUCUGAUACGGCCACCGUGGACCUUGAGGUGACCUCGGGAAUGGAGACAGUGCAUGGGAGAGAAUCACAUUGGAAGGGGCCUGGGUUUCUGAAGACCCUGUAAGACAGAUCUCCUUGCAGCCCUGACUGCCCACAUUAGGGCUUUUAUGUUAGGGUGAAGUUACCUUGCAUUGUCAUAUAAGCAAUUGCUAUUUGUGGUGUCUUGCAAAUAAACCUAUUCUGAUCUAGUAUGUUUCCUAAAAAACAAAAGUUUGAACCCAGCUCUUUACGUGUUACAUGUUCUGAAUACAAAAAUAAGACCCAGUUUCUGCCCCCUAGCAGGACCCAAAACCCCUCAGUGAAGGCAUACACCAUAGGAAUAAUCUCACAAGUACUUU